UUGAGGGGAAUGUUGUCUGGCUCGAGGUCACUUUUUUCUCUAAAAUUAAUUCCAUCUUUCGUUUUAAUUUCAAACAAAUUACUACGAUCGACGAAUUGAUUCAUUCGAAACGAAGUGUCGUCGGACCAGGCUUCAUUCCCCCCACAAAUU
rnacentral:pre_miRNA from 1 species